AUCAAUGGUAUGGUUGAAAGGUUACAACAGUCUCAGCAGCAUGUACGAGAGAAUGUCUAUCGUCUUUUUCAACAAAUCCUUAGUCAGCGGACGUCUUUGUUCUUUAACCGCCACAUUGACCAGAUCAUUCUAUGUUGUUUUUAUGGAGUUGCAAAGAUUUCCAAAGUGAAUCUAACCUUCAGGGAGAUCAUUUACAACUAUAGGAAGCAACCUCAAUGUAAACCACAAGUUUUCUGUGGUGUCUUUGUUGAUUGGUCUUCAGCACGCCAUGAUGGGAGGACGGGCCAAGAUCAUGUUGACAUCAUUACAUUUUACAAUGAAAUAUUCAUUCCUACAGCCUUUACUGGUGGAGGUUGGUUCUGCUGGAACUACAAAAACUACCCAGGUUCCUGAAGCCAAUAACAAUAAAGAUGGUCAAUGUCCUGCAUCACCUAAAGUAUCUCCUUUCCCAAGUCUCCCUGAUAUGUCUCCAAAGAAAGUUUCUGCAGCACAUAAUGUGUACGUCUCUCCAUUGCGGACAUCCAAGAUGGAUGCCUUGAUCUCACAUAGCUCAAAAAGCUAUUAUGCUUGUGUGGGGGAGAGCACUCAUGCAUACCAGAGCCCUUCAAAAGACCUUACAUCUAUCAACAAUCGAUUGAAUAGUAAUAGGAAGAUCAGAGGCACACUGAAUUUUGAUGAUGUUGAUGUUGGUUUGGUUAGUGACUCCAUGGUGGCCAACAGCCUCCACCUUCAAAAUGGGAGCUGUGCAUUCUCAUCUGCUGCACCUCUGAAAUCUGAACUACCUGACUCCUAAUUUCAACUCUCGCAUUCUUUCAUAUCCUUUCUGUAAAUUCUAGAUCUAUGCCUAAUUCCUCUUAAUUUUUAAUGUGCUCAGAAAUGUAUGACACAGGGUGUUGUAUGAGCGGUGAGUUGUGGAAGGGACGACACCCCCCACUCCCCCCCUCCCCCAUGCGCUUUGUAAUUUAGAUAGUGAACCUGAAAAUUUAAGUCGGAUAAAAAAAAUUUAUAAUCUGUAGUGAAAAUUAUGGUUUCUCA
rnacentral:misc_RNA from 1 species